CCUACGGGUGGCAGCAGUGAGGAAUCUUCGUCAAUGGCCGGAAGUCUGACCCAGCCACGCAGCGUGAAGGAUGACUGCCCUAUGGGCUGUAAACUCUUUUUAUAUGGGAAUAAAAUGUUGCACGUGCGUGAUCUUGCAUUUACCAUAUCAAUCCGGACCGGCUAACCCCGCUCCAGCAGCCGCGGCAAUACGGUGGAUCCGAGCGUUGCCCGGAUUUAUUGGGUUUAAAGGGAGCGUAGGUGGAUGGUUAAGUCAGUUGUGAAAGUUUGCGGCUCAACCGUAGAAGUGCAGUGGAAUCUGGCAGACUUGAGUGCAGUAGAGGAGGGCGGAAUUCGAGGUGUAGCGGUGAAAUGCUUAGAUAUCACGAAGAACACCGGUUGCGAAGGCAGUUCACUGGACUGCAACUGACGCUGAGGCUCGAAAGUGUGGGUAGCAAACAGGAUUAGAUACCCGUGUAGUC
rnacentral:rRNA from 1 species